AACUCUUUAAUCUUGAGGUUUUAUAAUUGCGGGAGUAGAGUCAGAAGGUGUUUGCAAGUUUCCUUCUGCCUUACUGAGGACUGGUGAGAACAGUGGGGGACAGAAAUGUUGUCUUGCUUGAUUUUCCCAAGAGUCAUGUGAAAACACCUGUAAUUUUUAAUUGAUUUAAUUAAUGAGUAAACUGGAUGAAGCUGAAUGUAAGUUUGUGUUUGGAAGAGGAGAUGAAGUGGUGAAGCAAGAAAACCAAUAGUUUUCUCUACUGGGAGAAGGGAAGAGCCUGUUUUCUGCUACAAAGCUCAUGUUUGAGGAGAACAGAGGACACAAGUAGUUUUUACCUGAAAAUGUGCUUGUAUGUGAGUAUGUGCAGGUGGACAGAAAACCCAUGUUUUCAUUCAGGUUUUCACUGUAUAGCUUUGAUCUGAAAUAACUGGGACAGAGAAGAGGUUUUAGCAGUUCCUUUCUUACACGGUAAAUGGCAUUUCUUUACAGAUAUCACAUUCAUAGAUAUAUUAAGAAACCACUUUU